rnacentral:rRNA from 1 species
AUGUCUCUUUGAUAUUUCAUGAUAAAGAGUCUAACCUGCCCAGUGGUUAACUAAAUGGCCGCGGUACUCUGACCGUGCGAAGGUAGCAUAAUCAUUUGUCUUAUAAUUGAAGUCUGGAAUGAAAGGUUUAACAAGAAUGAAGCUGUCUCUAAAAUUUAUUUAGAAUUUUAUUACUAAGUCAAAAAGCUUAGAUUUUAUAAAAAGACGAGAAGACCCUGUUGAGUUUAAGAAGAUUUCAAAAUUUUUUACAUUUAUGAAAACGAAUCAUUAAGGAAAAACUUUGGUUGGGGCGACUUAGGAACAGUAAAAGCUUCUUUUUACAUGUAUAAAAUUGAUUAAUUUAGAUCCAUUUUUUAUGAUCAAUAGAAUUAAUUACCACAGGGAUAACAGCAUUAUCUUUUUAGAGAGUUCAAAUCGAAAAGAAGGUUUGUGACCUCGAUGUUGGACCAAGGUAUCCUAAAGGUGUAGCAGCCUAUAAGGGUUGGUCUGUUCGACCAUUAAAACCUUACGUGAUCUGAGUUCAGACCGG